rnacentral:rRNA from 1 species
GACGAACGCUGGCGGCGUGCUUAACACAUGCAAGUCGAACGGUGAAGCGCCUUCCUUUUUGGUGGGUGUGGAUGAGUGGCGAACGGGUGAGUAACGCGUGAGUAACCUGCCCCCUUCUUCUGGAUAACCGCAUGAAAGUGUGGCUAAUACGGGAUAUUCUGGGUCUGUCGCAUGAUGGGUCUGGGAAAGAUAUUGUUUCGGUGGGGGAUGGGCUCGCGGCCUAUCAGCUUGUUGGUGGGGUGAUGGCCUACCAAGGCGGUGACGGGUAGCCGGCCUGAGAGGGUGGACGGUCACACUGGGACUGAGACACGGCCCAGACUCCUACGGGAGGCAGCAGUGGGGAAUAUUGCACAAUGGGCGCAAGCCUGAUGCAGCGACGCCGCGUGAGGGAUGGAGGCCUGCGGGUUGUGAACCUCUUUCGCCAGUGAAGCAGGCCUGCCUCGUUUGUGGGUGGGUUGACGGUAGCUGGAUAAGAAGCGCCGGCUAACUACGUG